UACGUAGGGAGCAAGCGUUGUCCGGAAUCAUUGGGCGUAAAGCGCGCGUAGGUGGCCUCAUAAGUCCGCUGUGAAAGUCAAAGGCUCAACCUUUGAAAGCCGGUGGAUACUGUGAGGCUAGAGUACGGAAGAGGCGAGUGGAAUUCCUGGUGUAGCGGUGGAAUGCGCAGAUAUCAGGAGGAACACCAAUAGCGAAGGCAGCUCGCUGGGACGUUACUGACACUGGAGGCGACGAAGGCGUGGGAGCGAACAGG
rnacentral:rRNA from 1 species